GACGAACGCUGGCGGCGUGCUUAACACAUGCAAGUCGAACGGAAAGGCCCUGCUUUUGUGGGGUGCUCGAGUGGCGAACGGGUGAGUAACACGUGAGUAACCUGCCCUUGACUUUGGGAUAACUUCAGGAAACUGGGGCUAAUACCGGAUAGGAGCUCCUGCUGCAUGGUGGGGGUUGGGAAAGUUUCGGCGGUUGGGGAUGGACUCGCGGCUUAUCAGCUUGUUGGUGGGGUAGUGGCUUACCAAGGCUUUGACGGGUAGCCGGCCUGAGAGGGUGACCGGCCACAUUGGGACUGAGAUACGGCCCAGACUCCUACGGGAGGCAGCAGUGGGGAAUAUUGCACAAUGGGCGGAAGCCUGAUGCAGCAACGCCGCGUGCGGGAUGACGGCCUUCGGGUUGUAAACCGCUUUCGCCUGUGACGAAGCGUGAGUGACGGUAAUGGGUAAAGAAGCACCGGCUAACUACGUG
rnacentral:rRNA from 1 species